rfam:Triticum aestivum genome assembly, contig: Triticum_aestivum_CS42_TGACv1_scaffold_000326_1AL
CAACUACUCCCUCCGUUCGGAAUUACUUAUCUCGGAUAUGGAUGUAUCUAGAACUAAAAUACGUCUAGAUACAUCCAUUUCUGCGACAAGUAAUUCCGAACGGAGGGAGUACUUG